UCGAGUACACUCAUUCUCGUCCAAUCAACGAAGUUAAGCAACGUCGAGCCUGAUCAGUACCUAGAAGGGUGACCCCUUGUGUAUACCAGGUGCUGUAA